UUGAAAGCUUUGAAAAGAAGAGUACAUGUCAAAAGUGUUUUAAAGAGAGCCUUGUUUGCUGAAAAUAGGCAACGUGAUUGAUAUGGAAGAUGGUCUUUGAGCAGAAUAAGUGAGCAUGAGUAAACUUAUUACGGGUGUGCCCGUUACAGCACCACAGUAUACGAAUUCAAGUACUGUAUAAGGCUAUUAUUGUGAAAUGAUAGUAAAUCAAGGUGGUAACACGAAAGACAAGCUUUCGUCCUUUUG
rnacentral:ncRNA from 1 species